AUUGACCCACACCAGAUCGCUGGCCGGCAGAGUCAAGGCUGCGGCGGGCUGUCCGACUUGAGCGUGCGGUUGUCGACGAAACGUAUCAUGAUUGGCCGCCCCGCAAUGGCGCUGCCGAGCCCUUUGGUCAGUGAUAACGGCGCACAGUUUCCGAGCGACGCGUUGAUCGCGCCGAGAUAGAUGUCGCGGGUUUGCACGGAAGCGCCGGGCGUGAAAUAGGUCACCCGCGGCGGCGCGAUCAGGCCGCCGUCGCGCCUGAACGAGAAUUUCACCGACAU
rnacentral:misc_RNA from 1 species